rnacentral:rRNA from 1 species
UACGGAGGAUGCGAGCGUUAUCCGGAUUUAUUGGGUUUAAAGGGUGCGUAGGCGGACUGUUAAGUCAGCGGUAAAGGCCCGGGGCUCAACCCCGGCGAGCCGUUGAAACUGGCUGUCUUGAGAUGUCGAGAGGUAUGCGGAAUGCGCAGUGUAGCGGUGAAAUGCUUAGAUAUUGCGCAGAACUCCGAUUGCGAAGGCAGCAUACCGGCGGCGAUCUGACGCUGAGGCACGAAAGCGUGGGUAUCGAACAGG